CCAGCCUCAGCUUUGAGGAUAAUCCCCGCAGGAUGGGAGCCCUCGCGGGCAGGCAGAGACAAGUUCCUCCGAGAAACAAGGUCAUGCUGCAAUUUUUUUUUUUUUGGUAAGCACAGGAAUCAACAAAGUGCUGUUAUAUAACUUCUAUUUAUAUCCUCCUGCUCAGUAGCUGCAGGCAAGCGAGUGGAGCUGGGAAGGGAAUUUAAUGAGCUCUUGGGGCUUGCUCACCUUCCAGAGCUGCUAGGAGCCAGCUUGUUUUUGAAGUGCGUCAGCAAACGAAACUGGUGGUGGGUGGGUGGUUUGGGUAGGUGGACUGACUUGUUGCUAUGGUUUUCUUUAACUCCUCUGUCUCUCGA
rnacentral:sRNA from 1 species